UGAGGGGAACAUGAUGAGCUGAAGAGGGCUGUGAUCUCUGGUAGGUGUGGGCAUUUUGGUUAUUUUCUCAGUUUGGUUCGAGUUCGGUUUAAAUUUGUUAGUUCGGUUCUAGUAUUUUCCCAACUGAAGUAAACAAUAGUUAGUUUGGUUCGGUUCGGUUUAUAUUCGGUUCGGUUUGUAUUCGGUUCGGUUUGUUUUUUGGAUUGGUUUAAUUGAGUUCUUUUUAGUUUAAUUUUUUAAGAGAAAUUAUGUUUUAAAAAAUAAAUUAUGUAAACAUAAAUUAUGUAAACUAAAUUCAAUAUAAAACUGAAACAAAAACCUUU
rnacentral:lncRNA from 1 species